UAUGGCCACAUCAUGUUGAAACACCAGUUUGUAUAUGGUCACUGAAAUUAAGCAACAUCAAGCCUGCUCAGUACCUAGAUGGGUGACCACUUGGGAAUACCAGGUGCUGUAA